rnacentral:rRNA from 1 species
UACGAAGGGGGCAAGCGUUGUUCGGAAUUACUGGGCGUAAAGGGCGCGUAGGCGGCCGAUCAAGUCAGGCGUGAAAUUCCCGGGCUCAACCUGGGGGCUGCGCUUGAUACUGAUUGGCUUGAAUGCGGGAGAGGAUGGUGGAAUUCCCAGUGUAGAGGUGAAAUUCGUAGAUAUUGGGAAGAACACCGAUGGCGAAGGCAGCCAUCUGGACCGACACUGACGCUGAGGCGCGAAAGCGUGGGGAGCAAACAGG